UCAAUGUAAAUUAGGUAAGAAUAGUAUCAUAUAUCUUUUUCAGGCUUUGAAGAAUAUCUUAUGCAAGGUUCAUAUUUCAGUUUAGUACGGAUUAUCCUUAUGUAAACAUACCUCUUGAUUAGAAAGUUCUUCCUCUUAAUCUUCCUAAAUUAGCCUCGAUUCAAUUUACAAAUCGUUGUUUUAUAGAGUUUAGGAGAGAACAAAUGUGAGAAAAAAAGAGUUUGAGAUAGUUUAAGAGAGUAUGAGAAUGUAAUGGAGUGAAAUAAAGGAGAAGAAGGGUUUUUAAAUAUCAUAAGAAAGGGUUCCAAUGGUCAAUUUGACCAUUGGAGCACUGUAUCACUGUUACCGAGCAGUUUUAAAUAUUUCUUCCUCUUACUGUAGCAUUGUAGCACUCUAGCAUGUUCUGUCCGGUAGCGGGUGGUCCGCAAACCGGUAUGUCGUCGGACCGGUACGUAUCGCCCGUACCGGUUGGUAUCAUUCUAAAUUGGUUGGAUUAAGAUUGACAAUCCUUGGAACAUGAUAAGGUAAACUACUCCACUCUAUUUGACUUUGUGAACUAAAACUUGAUGGUUAAUUUUUUUUUUAACUUUUUAUUGGCAGCUGUAAUGACAUAUAUGAAUCUCCAAUUGAAUUGUGAGAGACACGAUGGCUAUGCAGGUCCAUCUUCUCAAAGGAUUUGGACUGCCAUUUAAAUGAACAAGUCUCCACAUUGUUAGUUACAGAUGUUCUUCUGUUUCUUCUUUGCAUUUUGUUCUAUAAUAUUUUGUGUCAAACAUUGAAAUAAUUAUAGAUGAUGUGUUCCAUAUUACUUAAUAGAAAUUCUUUUGCUUUUUGGCUUUCCACGUGUUUAAAAGUGUUCUUUCUUAGUUUAGAGGAUUCCACAAUAAGUUUAUGAAGAAACUAAUGUUAAUUAAAUUAUUUUUUCAUGCAUAUUAUGUGAAUGGAUAUGGUUUCUUAUCAAAUCAAUUUACAACCUGAUUUGGCAAUUUUGUACUUGAAUAGUUGGGUCUGUCUUCAAUAUUUGAUGAAAUUGUUAAAACUGAAGUAACCAGGCACAUGCAACCUACUGAUUACUUGAGCUUGUUUGGGGAAGAAUUCAAAUGAACUGAAGAUUAUUGGGAUGCUUCUUAUUUGAAUGUCUUGGAUAUAUCUGCAGCGGAAGAAGGCAGUCCUCAUGUCUUAUUUGGAUGUGCUUCACAAGCAAAAGCAGCAUGUGUAUUGAUUGAUUUAUGCUUUGGACCAUUAUCACCAUGGAUAUAUACAAUUACUGCAAAGGUUUCAUCUUUUUCCAUAAUAAGUCUACAUAUUAAGUCAACAACUUGUAUUUUUGUAACUGCAUUGACCCUUUUUCAUGUUGAUCUUGCAAUUGAACUUCUGGAGGACCUCUUGGUGUUAUUCAAGUAAUUUCAUCAUUCUUCUUGUUUUUAUUACUGUUAUGAAGGCUUAAUUCUUUAUUAUAAUGAAUGCUCGUUUGGUUGGUUGGUUGGUUAUGAAGUCAUGGAUACAAGUGUAAGAUAUUGAUAUGAUGGAUAUGGAUAUGUAUCAAUGUAUAAUGUUCACUAUUUAAUGUGACAAAAUUUGGUAUUUAUUUAAUGUUAGAAUAGGUAGAUGUAUAUAAAUCAUGAUUCAUCAUAAUUAACCUAUUCAUCAUGAAAAUAUAUAAACAAUGUUUGGUGAAUUAUCUAACAUAAGCAAUUAAAACUAUCUAUGUUUGAUGAGUACUUGGUCAUUUCUUGGUGCAGAUCUGACCUUUUUUGUGGUCAAUACAUUGUGAUUUAUUGUGGAUGGUCAAAUUAUCAAUCACUAAUUUUCUCUUGAAAUAAUCUCCUCAUUUUGAGAAAAAUGUUAUUUGAUUUGAACAUCAUAGUCCUAGCAUAACAAAGACUAUGAAGUUCAGAGGCAAUUUGUUCUGCUGUGGUAUAAUAUUUGAUGAUGAUUGUUCAGAUGACAAUUAGUUUCACCAUUUGAUGAUUGUUCAGAUGGCAGUGGUUGAUGAUUGUCGAACUAUGUUAUGCUAGUAUAAUACUAGCAUGGAGUUUUGUUUUAUACCAAGGAUGUCCCUGAACACACAAUCAAGCACAAGGCUUGUUCCAGCCAUAUGUUUAAACCGUGCUGAUCGGCAUGUAUUGUACUGACAUGUCCAUCCUGAUGAACUAAAAAAAUACUUUCUAUGACCUAUCAUAGAUGUUAUUUUGUGAUCCAUCUAUUACCUUAUUAUGAAGAUUCCAACAAUAUCAGUCAUUUGUACACUUGAAUAAAACCCUGAUCUCUUGAAUUUGAUCCUGAUCAUCAUAGCAGUUAUUGUGAAACUGAAACUUUUGUCUGUUGGAUUGGAGUUUUCCUUUUUUUCUAGAGAGCCAAUAAAGAACCUACUGUUUCAGUGUUCUGAGUUCUUUGGAGUGUUGUGCUCAACUCUUAUGGGACUUUUAUGGACCAAUAUAACUACUGUUGUGGCUUGGAAAGCUAUAUAUUUCUUAAUGGGUAACAGAUUAUUUUUUACAUGUUUCUAAGAUACCAAUAUACACUUAAAAUAUACACUUCUAAUCCUGUGAAUGCAAGUCCUUUAGUUCUAGUUACUGUCAUUUAGUACUUUUUAGUUCAUGAACCCUGUAUGUGACAUCCAUCUUUCAUCUGUGUGCUCAAGAAACUGUGAAUUUCAUCACAAUGCCCCCGUUAUUAUCCAAAUUCUAUCCACUUCCUCCUGAAUAAAAAUUCAAGAAAAGGAAAAAAUUUCAUAUGAUAGAUUAUGCACUUAUUUUCAUGCUUCAUGUUUGGUUGACUCUGUUCAUAAUGCCCCUACCGGGUGUUUCCAGAAUCUACUAGUCGUGCUUAUGCUGCUUUGAAGCAAGGUAUACAAUUUUGAAUGGUACCACCCGGUACAGGCGGUACGUACCGGUCCGAUAGGUUACCGGUAUGCGGACCACCCAUUACCAGGAGGAACGCUUAAACUAUCUCAAACCCUUCUCAUGUUUUUAAACCAUUCUUCUCCCCUAUUUCACUCCAUUUCAUUCUCAUACUCUGUUAAACUAUCUCAAACUCUUUUUUUCUCAUAUUUGUAUUAUCUUAAACUCCAUUACACCUAAAUUAGGCGUACCGUACCAUAUCAAGCCAACCUCGAAAUGUCGGUACGGUACGAUGUUUCAAUCCUUGCUUUGAAAUAUAUCUUGCUGGCCUUGUCUGAGCAUAUGGAUGAUGUACUGUCAAAAUAUAAGGUUUGACCUUCUAUUAAAGUAUCAAGCAUAAUUUUGCUUACUCUUUCCAAUCAGAUAGAUGAUGCUUUUACCCAAGGUUCGCCGAACCGUACCGUACCGGCGUUUCGACGCUGGCUCGGUACGGUACGGUACGGCGUACCGAGCGGUAUACCGAGGUGUACCGCUCGGUACACCUGAUUUCACCGAUUUAUCCCUCCGAAAAUACCUGAAAAUUAAAAAAAAAGUUAGGAUAGAGUUUUCAAGUUAUAAAUAAAUAUAGUAAUAGUAUAAGUUUAGCAAAAUCAAUGUAAAUUUGGUAAAAAUAGCAUCACAUAUUUUUUUCGGGCUUUGAGGUAGUCUUGUUCGAGGUUCGUAUUUCAGCUCGUUAUAGAUUGAAAUAUCUAUAGAAAAAUUAGUUGAAUUGUUAGACUAUUUUGUUACAAUAUAAACUCUAAAAUUCAAAUGAAUUAAAUAAUCAUAUAUCUAGAUAUACCUGAUUGUUAAUUCUACCACCAAAACGAACGACGAGCCUCCACGGGUGGUGGAUCGGGGUCCUCGAUCCGAUACAUAUCAAUAUGAUACGUUUGUUGGACCCAAUCAUGAAAUUGAUCCCAUGACAUAGUGUAUUGAUACACCGUAUGCCAUUGAUGCAUCAAUGUGAUACUGAUCGUAGAUUGAUCGUCAUAAAUCAUAUUUGUCCGAGGCAGCUCUUGAGGCAUAUAUUGGUGUUGUUCUGUAUCAUGCUGUUGCUCAGAGAAGGAUGACCAACUAUCACCAUGCUGUUGUUGCCCAUAUGAUUCUUCAUAAUACGAUGGCUGUGAAUACGAUGAGUCUCUUUCUGUGUCUAUAUCAUGUAUGCUCUGUCGCAUUUGUUCAUAUUCAUCCACUGCCUUCCCCUUCUCCUUUCCCUUCCGCGCAUAAACUUAACCAGUACCUUGUCGAGUUCCAUGAUCUGAAUCUUGAGUGGCAUGUGUAAAAUAUUGCUCCUCAGUCCAUUCACCACCCUCAAGUUGUGCAGACGAGACCAACGACUGCCCGGUAUCACCGCCAUCAUCUGUUGAGGCACUACUGUCCGUGUUGCUGUCAUGUCUCUGGACCGAACGAGAAAGAGAAUGUGAUUGUGAAGGUGUCUCGUCGCCCGACUCGAUUCUUUCCAACGAUGCAACUGAUGCUAUUGCCUUCCCCUUUGCCUUUGCACGUUGGGCGGACGAGUGUGACCGUUGGGUAUCGGUAGUUCCUCGAGCAGUUUGACUCAUACCUCUUGAUUAGAAAGUUCUUCCUCUUAAUCUUCCCAAAUUUACCUCGAUUGAAUUCACAAAUCGUUGUUUUAUAGAGUUUAUGAGAGAAAAGAAAUGUUUGAGAGAGAGUUUAAGAGUGUAUAAUGAAAUAGGGGAGAGAAGAUUAGUUUAAAUAGGAGGAGAAAUGGCUCCAACGGUCAAUUUGACCGUUGGAGCACUGUAGCACUGCUACAGUGUGGUAACGGUCGAUUUCGACCGUUACCGAGUGGUAUCGGGCGGUAACGGUCGAAAUCGACCGUUACCGAAUGGUACCGGGCGGUAACGGUCGAAAUUUCGACCGUUACCGCCCGAUACAGGCUUUUUUUGGUGUACCGCCCGGUAGAGGGCGGUCCGCGUACCGGUCGCCUCUCGGACCGGUACGUACCGCCCGUACCGGGCGGUACACAUCGGUAUGGCGAACCUUGCUUUUACCAUCCUUGUAGGAAUUUAAACAUAGGCUUCUAUUUCUUUUAGAGAUGCUAGAACCCUUCCGUGAUCCUGUGAUUACUGGAACAAAGAAUACAACUUCUGAAGAUGCUAAUGAUAUACACUUGGAGAAAUAGAAGAACUGUUGUAUUGCAUUCAAUGUUAUAUGUACUGCAUUACGAAGGCCUGCCAUUCUUCCUUUUGUGGAAUGUGAAUGGAGACGUGAAUCUAUUGCACCAAGGUCUAUUGUAACAGCAUAUGCUAAUAUCAUAGAGAAAUUAAAAAAAUUUUAACAUCUUUAUAGUUUAUACUUUAUAAUGCUUAUUUUUGGAGAUGCAAAGAGAGAGAAUGAAGUGAUCGGUGAAGACUACAGUUUAAAAAGAUGUGAGAGUCAAAAAAGAAGAAAUUAUUAUUAUUUUUUUUUCCCUGCAACAAAAUGAAUCUUAUCAAAUGCACCUUGUUGGUUGUUACAUUACUUGGUUUUUAGCUGACAAUAUACUGUCUUCAUUGUCUUUCUAUAUUGCAGUGUACUCCUUUUUAUUUUGGGGCCACAUAUGCCAUUUCCUUCAGAUAUUGACCUUUGCAAAUGUUCAUUUCCUAAGGUGGCUGAUCAAGAGUCUUUAGCUGUUUCUUCUAACUUUGUGAUAUGUUCUCAUGGGGCUUCUAGCACAUCCAGUAAUCCGGAUGAAGCAAAGAGAAAGAUUGAUGCAUCUAAAGCUGCCACAAGAAAAGAUGUACUCCAAGAUGCUAAUCUGUAGUUUGCUCCUAGAGAUCUGUCAAAAAUUGUUCUGACAAGUGUUUCAAAUUAUUUUACUGGGGACUGGAUCAGAUUGAAUUUCAGUUGUGGUGUUUCAGAGGUGAAUAAGAUUUCAAAUAACAACUUUCAGAAUAUUGGUUUCUUUGCUGAUUACUUGUAUUCACAAGCAGAUUAUCUACAACUUGUAAACUAUCAAGAUUCGGUAUAUAGGGCUUCCCAAUUUGAACAUUUGGCAGCUGAUUUGUGUUCCCAGCAUGACAACCCCAGAAAGCCAUGAAGCUGCAAUAGAAUCCAUACUCUUGGCUGCAGAAUGUUAUGCCAACUCAUUCUUUAUAAUCGAUUUCAUAUGGAUGCAAUUCAGAGCUUAUGAAUCAGAUGAAAAUCAUUGGAUCCAAAUUCAUGAAUAAAAAUGGAUUAGUGGUGUUUUAUGAAGACCUUAAGAGAUGUAAUGUCAAUCUGGAGACAAUAGCUUAUCUUGAAAGUAAAGAGAUAUAACUGUUCUACAAAUUCUGCUUCCGCUAAACUGGACCUCGAAUCUGAGAGAAUUUUGGCUCUUUGGAAACCUUGUACAUAUUAUUUUGAAGAUAAUCAGUAGGCUUUAGAAAUAUCACAAGUCGACAUUGAAUCUGAUGUGGCAACUUUGAUUAGGCAGAAUCAACCAUUGCUUUGCCACUUUGUAAUCCUCCUACAGAGUCUCCCCUCUUUCUACUGCAUUCUGCAACUGAGUUAUCCUGUUCUGUAGAGAAUGUUAAUGACAUUAUACUGCAGUCAGCUGCAAAUCUUAGUGGACAAUUUACAAUUUUGUACACCCAACUGAAAGCAGGCAACAUACAACUUGAAAUGGUAAAGUUACAUGGGCUGCCAAGGUGCUGGGCACUUCUUGAAGGAUUAAUCUGGAAAUGAUGAACGGACAUAUCCCAUUGGUAUCAAAAGUGCUGGUUUCAUCUACAGAACUUUAGUUCCACAUUUAUCAUGGAUGCAGAAAAUAUCUAGAUUUUCAA